GGGGAAUCUUGCACAAUGGGCGAAAGCCUGAUGCAGCGACGCCGCGUGCGGGAAGAAGGCCUUCGGGUUGUAAACCGCUUUCAGCAGGGACGAGGCGAAAGUGACGGUACCUGCAGAAGAAGCCCCGGCUAACUACGUGCCAGCAGCCGCGGUAAUACGUAGGGGGCAAGCGUUAUCCGGAUUCAUUGGGCGUAAAGCGCUCGUAGGCGGUCUGUUAGGUCGGGAGUUAAAUCCGGAGGCUCAACCUCCGCCCGCUCCCGAUACCGGCAGACUUGAGUUUGGUAGGGGAAGGUGGAAUUCCUAGUGUAGCGGUGGAAUGCGCAGAUAUUAGGAAGAACACCAGUGGCGAAGGCGGCCUUCUGGGCCAUAACUGACGCUGAGGAGCGAAAGCUAGGGGAGCAAACAGGAUUAGAUACCCUGGUAGUCCUAGCUGUAAACGAUGGACACUAGGUGUGGGAGAAUACGUCUUCCGUGCCGCAGCUAACGCAUUAAGUGUCCCGCCUGGGGAGUACGGCCGCAAGGCUA
rnacentral:rRNA from 1 species